AAAUCAAGUUGGAGGAUUGCCAUGUUCCCUCAAGGCUGCUUCUUCACACAAAAAGUGCUUUGGAUGACUUAUUUUCCUUUUUCAUUGAAUUGUGUUAAGAAGUUCCUUUCUUAUAUCAAUGGAGAGUAUCCGAACCCUAAAAGAUCUUCCAAUCUCGGAAAGAAAGUUGCAGAACUCAAAUUGUUCCCUGCACGUGGGCCUUCACAACACGAGCACUUCCAAG